GACUUAAAAUCCGUUGGCUUUAUUGACCAUGAGGGUUCAAGUCCCUCUACCCCCA
rnacentral:tRNA from 2 species